AUUGAACGCUGGCGGCAGGCCUAACACAUGCAAAUCGAGCGGAUGAGAGGAGCUUGCUCUUCGAUUCAGCGGCGGACGGGUGAGUAAUGCCUAGGAAUCUGCCUGGUAGUGGGGGACAACGUUUCGAAAGGAACGCUAAUACCGCAUACGUCCUACGGGAGAAAGCAGGGGACCUUCGGGCCUUGCGCUAUCAGAUGAGCCUAGGUCGGAUUAGCUUGUUGGUGAGGUAAUGGCUCACCAAGGCGACGAUCCGUAACUGGUCUGAGAGGAUGAUCAGUCACACUGGAACUGAGACACGGUCCAGACUCCUACGGGAGGCAGCAGUGGGGAAUAUUGGACAAUGGGCGAAAGCCUGAUCCAGCCAUGCCGCGUGUGUGAGGAAGGUCUUCGGAUUGUAAAGCACUUUAAGUUGGGAGGAAGGGCAGCUAGCGAAUACCUGGUUGUUUUGACGUUACCGACAGAAUAAGCACCGGCUAACUCUGUGCCAGCCGCCGCGGUAA
rnacentral:rRNA from 1 species